GCCGGCGUAGCUCAAUCGGCAGAGCGACGCAUUCGUAAUGCGUAGGUCAGCGGUUCAAUUCCGCUCGCCGGCUCCA
rnacentral:tRNA from 1 species